UACGUAGGGGGCUAGCGUUGUCCGGAAUCAUUGGGCGUAAAGCGCGUGUAGGCGGUCCGGUAAGUCCGCUGUGAAAGUCGGGGGCUCAACCCUCGGAUGCCGGUGGAUACUGUCGGGCUUGAGUUCGGGAGAGGGAAGCGGAAUUCCGGGUGUAGCGGUGAAAUGCGUAGAUAUCCGGAGGAACACCGGUGGCGAAGGCGGCUUCCUGGACCGAUUACUGACGCUGAGGCGCGAAAGCUAGGGGAGCAAACGGG
rnacentral:rRNA from 1 species